GACGGGGGGGGCAAGUGUUCUUCGGAAUUACUGGGCGUAAAGCGUGCGCAGGCGGUUGUGCAAGACAGAUGUGAAAUCCCCGGGCUACACCUGGGAAUUGCAUUUGUGACUGCACGGCUAGAGUGUGUCAGAGGGGGGUAGAAUUCCACGGUGUAGCAGUGAAAUGCGUAGAGAUGUGGAGGAAUACCGAUGGCGAAGGCAGCCCCCUGGGAU
rnacentral:rRNA from 1 species